CCUACGGUGGGCAGCAGUGAGGAAUAUUGGUCAAUGGACGCAAGCCUGAACCAGCCAUGUAGCGUGCAGGAUGACGGCCCUACGAGUUGUAAACUGCUUUUGUACGAGAGUAAACGCAGAUACGUGUAUCUGUUUGUAUGUACCUUAUGAAUAAGGAUCGGCUAACUCCGUGCCAGCAGCCGCGGUAAUACGGAGGAUCCAAGCGUUAUCCGGAUUUAUUGGGUUUAAAGGGAGCGUAGGCGGUCUGUUAAGUUAGUGGUGAAAUCCCGGGGCUCAACCUCGGAAUUGCAACUGAUACUGGUCGGCUUGAGUGUAGUUGAGGUAGGCGGAAUGUGUGGUGUAGCGGUGAAAUGCUUAGAGAUCACGAAGAACCCCGAUUGCGAAGGCAGCUUACUAAGCUGCUACUGACGUUGAGGCUCGAAAGCGUGGGUAGCAAACAGGAUUAGAUACCCGUGUAGUC
rnacentral:rRNA from 1 species